GACAGAGGGGGCAAGCGUUGCUCGGAAUUACUGGGCGUAAAGGGCGCGUAGGCGGGAUGGCAAGUCGGUCGUGAAAUCCCGAGGCUCAACCUCGGAACUGCCUUCGAUACUGGCGACCUUCGAGUCCGGGAGAGGUGAGUGGAACUCCGAGUGUAGAGGUGAAAUUCGUAGAUAUUCGGAAGAACACCAGUGGCGAAGGCGGCUCACUGGCCCGGUACUGACGCUGAGAUACGAAAGCGUGGGGAGCAAACAGG
rnacentral:rRNA from 1 species